GUUAUGGAGUGUUUCUCUUCUCUCUUUCCUUGUCCUCCAUGUUGCCCGUUGGCGCCUCGGUCGAUUUCCAGUGACCCAACCGCAGACUGCUGUGUGUUGACCAAGGGUGAUGCCAGAAGAAGAGGUGGGCUCCAAAAGAGGCUGCUGGUGAGAGCUGUGCAUGACCUGGUGCUCCUCAAAUGACCCCUACUCCUCCCUUCCCCACAGUAUUCAGUAUCUCCUGUGAGGUUUUUGUCUUUCCUUCCAAGAUUGCAGUCUCCGCCAUCAGAUACCUUUUUCAUUCCUAAUCUCUAUGGCUUGCAGCGUUGGACUUCCCUGGACAGUUGGAAAGGGGUGAGUGAUUCAUUCAUCCUUACCAGAAGGUGAUCUCUGCUGGUCUUGUCUUGUUUCCAACAGGUGGCAGUGGAGUUUUACAUCCCUCCCGAGCGGUGCAAGGACUCUGCUGAGGCUCUUGGGGAACACAGCAGGAACCCACAGCCAGAGAUGGACGCCAGGAUCCGCUCCUUCCUGUGUCUGGCAAGCUCUGUUGACCACUGAGGUCAUUCCCACGCUUGCAGUGGUCCUAUGGACUUGGUGUCGGUUGUCCCUUGUGCUCACCAUGCUGUCACCGGGUGUUCUUCCUUUGCCCAUCUGUAGGGCUCCCCUGUUCUGGUGGAAUCUCAGUGUCUUCUGUUGAUCCCAGGGCUGAAAAUGGACGCCUGAUGGUAUCUAUGAUGCCCCAAAUGCAAUCUUGUAAGGUUUGGCCAAGUGUGGUGGGAAAGGAAGAGGAUUGCAGAGACGACCACCGGGUGCCAUUUGCACUUCCUGACCUCCCUGGGUGGUAGCGUUGGAAGUGCCUGGACCCUUGGAAAGGGCUAAGUGAUUCCUUCAUUAUUACCUGAAUGCAGUUUGUGUUCAACAGGUGUCGGUGGAGAACUGCGCCCUUUUGAUGGGCGCAAAGAGUGUAUUGUGACUCUAGGUGGGCAAAACAGGAACGCAGAGCCAGAGAUGGACACCAAGAUGCAUUCCUUCCUCUGUCUGGCAAGCUUUCUUGACCCUGAGGUGGCUCCCACGCUUGCAGAGGGCCUUUGGGCUUGGUGUCGGUUGUCCCUUGUGCUCACUGGGCUUUCCAAGGGUGUUCCUCUUACUUGACACCACCUUUCCCAUUCUCCAUUUCCAAGCAGGAGCUCCACUUGGCCUCCGCAUCUCGCUCUGGCCAGGCAGAUGUGGUGUGCCAACGGAUCAGAGCCUUCAGAAUCCAACCAAAGCAAAUGAGGAGAGAGGCUGCCCUGGGUGAGACAGGAGAAGUGCCCCUUGAAGCGGGGGACGCCCCACUGGUGCUGCCUCUCACAUCCACCGGCAGCGCGUUCCUUCUCUCUCCUUGCCGCCCGGCGCUUUGCCGUCUCCCAGGGCUCGCCAAGUCCAAAUGUUCCCUAAUGGAGUCCAACUCCAGCUUCACCAGCACUCACCCGGUCUGUCCCCGCACCAGCUGGCUUAGGGCUCCCCAGUUCUGAUGGGACCUCAGUGCCUUCUGUCGCUCCCAGUCAGCAUGGCUUUGCUCUUUGCUUUUUGGCUUCCAGAGCGUUUGGUAAAGGUUAUGGAGUGUUUCUCUUGUCUCUCUCUCUCUCCUUGUCUUCCAUGUUGCCCGUUGGUGCCUCGGUGGAGUUCCAGUGACCCAACUGCAGGCUGCUGUGCAUUGACCAAGGGUGAUGCCAAGAGAAGAGGUGGGCUCCAAAAGAGGCUGCGGGAUAGGAGACUCUGCUGUCAGAUGUCGUUGCCUGUCCAUCCCUCCCGAGCUUGCAGAGUUGGAUGUUACCUCAGCAUUGGAUAAGGGGUAAGUGAUUCCUGCAUCCUUACCAGAAGGUAAUCUCUACUCGUCUUGUGCUGUGUGGAACAGGUUGCAGUGGAGAAGUGCAGUUGUCCGGGGCGCUGUAAGGACUCUGCUGAGGCUCUUGGUGGACACAGCAGGAACCC
ensembl:lncRNA